rnacentral:rRNA from 1 species
ACGGGAGGCAGCAGUGGGGAAUAUUGCACAAUGGGCGAAAGCCUGAUGCAGCAACGCCGCGUGAAGGAUGAAGGGUUUCGGCUCGUAAACUUCUAUCAAUAGGGAAGAAAGAAAUGACGGUACCUAAAUAAGAAGCCCCGGCUAACUACGUGCCAGCAGCCGCGGUAAUACGUAGGGGGCAAGCGUUAUCCGGAAUUACUGGGUGUAAAGGGAGCGUAGGCGGCAUGGUAAGCCAGAUGUGAAAGCCUUGGGCUUAACCCGAGGAUUGCAUUUGGAACUAUCAAGCUAGAGUACAGGAGAGGAAAGCGGAAUUCCUAGUGUAGCGGUGAAAUGCGUAGAUAUUAGGAAGAACACCAGUGGCGAAGGCGGCUUUCUGGACUGAAACUGACGCUGAGGCUCGAAAGCGUGGGGAGCAAACAGGAUUAGAUACCCUGGUA